rnacentral:rRNA from 1 species
CCUACGGUAGGCAGCAGUGAGGAAUAUUGGUCAAUGGACGCACGUCUGAACCAGCCAUGCCGCGUGCAGGAAGACGGCUCUAUGAGUUGUAAACUGCUUUUGUACGAGGGUAAACGCAGAUACGCGUAUCUGUCUGAAAGUAUCGUACGAAUAAGGAUCGGCUAACUCCGUGCCAGCAGCCGCGGUAAUACGGAGGAUUCAAGCGUUAUCCGGAUUUAUUGGGUUUAAAGGGUGCGUAGGCGGUCGGAUAAGUUAGAGGUGAAAUCCCGAGGCUCAACUUCGGAAUUGCCUCUGAUACUGUUCGGCUAGAGAGUAGUUGCGGUAGGCGGAAUGUAUGGUGUAGCGGUGAAAUGCUUAGAGAUCAUACAGAACACCGAUUGCGAAGGCAGCUUACCAAGCUACUUCUGACGUUGAGGCACGAAAGCGUGGGGAGCAAACAGGAUUAGAUACCCCGGGUAGUC